rnacentral:rRNA from 1 species
UGAGUAACCUGCCCUUGACUCUGGGAUAAGCGUUGGAAACGACGUCUAAUACCGGAUACGAGCUUCAGUCGCAUGACUAGGAGCUGGAAAGAAUUUCGGUCAAGGAUGGACUCGCGGCCUAUCAGCUAGUUGGUGAGGUAACGGCUCACCAAGGCGACGACGGGUAGCCGGCCUGAGAGGGUGACCGGCCACACUGGGACUGAGACACGGCCCAGACUCCGUACGGGAGCAG